GGAGAGUGACAGAGCGAGCGAGAGAGAGAGAGAAAGAGAGAGAGAGAGAGACUAUGUAAGAGGCUUUUCUGGUUCAAUCCCUCAGUAACUGUCACUAGCAGUCAGUCAGUCACCUGCAGAUGAUGGCGUCGAGGGCAUCCCAGGCAACAAAGUUAUCCGGUCUCGAUCUGAAUCGCUUGUCUUUUUGUUACAGAUAACAUGCUGUAUGAGAGUGAAUGUAAUACACUGAUUGAAAGAAUUUUUGUGUAAAUGAAGCAAUUUUGCUCGGAAAUGUUCGACCAUUUGAUACAACAAGCAAUGUAAGCUUAAAUAAAAUGUUCUGAAAUGA